rnacentral:rRNA from 1 species
UACGUAGGGUGCAAGCGUUAAUCGGAAUUACUGGGCGUAAAGCGUGCGCAGGCGGUUCGGAAAGAAAAGAUGUGAAAUCCCAGGGCUUAACCUUGGAACUGCAUUUUUAACUACCGGGCUAGAGUGUGUCAGAGGGGGGGUGGAAUUCCACGUGUAGCAGUGAAAUGCGUAGAUAUGAUGGAGGAACACCGAUGGCGAAGGCAGCCCCCCUGGGAUAACACUGACGCUCAGGCACGAAAGCGUGGGGAGCAAACAGGA